rnacentral:piRNA from 1 species
GGCUAUGAAGGAAAAUGAAGCGAGGAGAC